UGGCUGUAGCGAUACUUCGGUCUGUUAGUGGCGAACGGGUGAGUAACACGUGAGCAACCUGCCUUUUACACAGGGAUAACAGCCGGAAACGGCUGCUAAUACCGGAUAAGACCACACCGAGGCAUCUCGGAGGGGUCAAAGCGAUUUAGCGGUAAAAAGAUGGGCUCGCGUCCCAUUAGCUAGUUGGUGAGAUAACAGCCCACCAAGGCGACGAUGGGUAGCCGACUUGAGAGAGUGAUCGGCCACAUUGGAACUGAGACACGGUCCAGACUCCUUCGGGAGGCAGCAGUGGGGAAUAUUGGGCAAUGGAGGAAACUCUUACCCAGCAAUGCCGCGUGAAUGAAGAAGGCCUUCGGGUUGUAAAGUUCUUUUAUUGAUGAUAAAGCAAGUGAUAUUAGUCAAUGAAUAAGCCCCGGCUAACUAUGUGCCAGCAGCCGC
rnacentral:rRNA from 1 species